rnacentral:sRNA from 1 species
AUCCAUUGUUGUAGAAAUGUCUAUACCAAACCAAAACUGGAUCGGAACUUUGUCUAUCAAACUGGUUUGAUCUAGAUUUUAGAACUUAGUUUUCUAAACGGUAAUUCUCUUGAGGAAUUUAUCGCCUUCUUCAAUAUACGGUAAAAUAUUCAUCUGAUAAAAAAAA